rnacentral:rRNA from 1 species
GAUGAACGCCGGCGGCGUGCUUAACACAUGCAAGUCGAACGGGAAACCUUUUAUUGAAGCUUCGGCAGAUUUAGCUGGUUUCUAGUGGCGGACGGGUGAGUAACGCGUGGGUAACCUGCCUUAUACAGGGGGAUAACAGUCAGAAAUGGCUGCUAAUACCGCAUAAGCGCACAGAGCUGCAUGGCUCAGUGUGAAAAACUCCGGUGGUAUAAGAUGGACCCGCGUUGGAUUAGCUGGUUGGUGGGGUAACGGCCCACCAAGGCGACGAUCCAUAGCCGGCCUGAGAGGGUGAACGGCCACAUUGGGACUGAGACACGGCCCAGACUCCUACGGGAGGCAGCAGUGGGGAAUAUUGCACAAUGGGGGAAACCCUGAUGCAGCGACGCCGCGUGAAGGAAGAAGUAUCUCGGUAUGUAAACUUCUAUCAGCAGGGAAGAUAAUGACGGUACCUGACUAAGAAGCCCCGGCUAACUACGUG